UCAAACGGGGUGCCUUUAAGGCUGAGAAUAAACCCGUUUCCCUCCAAGUGUUUUGGAGUAGGAAGGAACCUGAUCCGGAUAAUGCCGGCGUAGGAAAUAUGAAUAAU
rnacentral:ncRNA from 1 species